UUACCGGAGAUUUUAUGGACCCCGAUCCCACUCCUCAUCCUCGAUGGAGCCCCCUUAUUUUCCGGUAAAUCUGCGUAGCGCUGCUUUACCGGAAGCGUAAAGCAGCGAUGUCU
rnacentral:ncRNA from 1 species